AAUGAACGCUGGCGGCGUGCUUAACACAUGCAAGUCGUACGAGAAACCCCGGCUUGCCGGGGGAGUAAAGUGGCGCACGGGUGAGUAACGCGUGGGUAAUCUACGCUCGAAUUGGGGAUAACACACCGAAUGGUGUGCUAAUACCGAAUAAGACCACGACCUCCACGGGGGUUGCGGUCAAAGAUGGCCUCUGCUUGCAAGCUGUCGUUUGCGGAUGCGCCCGCGUACCAUUAGCUUGUGGGUGGGGUAAAGGCCUACCAAGGCAACGAUGGUUAGCUGGUCUGAGAGGAGGGUCAGCCACACUGGAACUGGAACACGGUCCAAACUCCUACGGGAGGCAGCAGUGAGGAAUUUUGCGCAAUGGGGGAAACCCUGACGCAGCAACGCCGCGUGAGUGAAGAAGGCCUUCGGGUUGUAAAGCUCUGUCAAGUGGGAAGAACCUUUUUCGGCCGAAUACGCCGAGAAACUGACGGUACCGCUGAAGGAAGCACCGGCUAACUCCGUGCCAGCCGCCGCAGUAA
rnacentral:rRNA from 1 species